rnacentral:rRNA from 1 species
GACGUGCUAAUCUGCGAUAAGCGUCGGUAAGGUGAUAUGAACCGUUAUAACCGGCGAUUUCCGAAUGGGGAAACCCAGUGUGAUUCGUCACACUAUCAUUAACUGAAUCCAUAGGUUAAUGAGGCGAACCGGGGGAACUGAAACAUCUAAGUACCCCGAGGAAAAGAAAUCAACCGAGAUUCCCCCAGUAGCGGCGAGCGAACGGGGAGCAGCCCAGAGCCUGAAUCAGUGUGUGUGUUAGUGGAAGCGUCUGGAAAGGCGCGCGAUACAGGGUGACAGCCCCGUACACAAAAAUGCACAUACUGUGAGCUCGAUGAGUAGGGCGGGACACGUGGUAUCCUGUCUGAAUAUGGGGGGACCAUCCUCCAAGGCUAAAUACUCCUGACUGACCGAUAGUGAACCAGUACCGUGAGGGAAAGGCGAAAAGAACCCCGGCGAGGGGAGUGAAAAAGAACCUGAAACCGUGUACGUACAAGCAGUGGGAGCACGCUUAGGCGUGUGACUGCGUACCUUUUGUAUAAUGGGUCAGCGACUUAUAUUCUGUAGCAAGGUUAACCGAAUAGGGGAGCCGAAGGGAAACCGAGUCUUAACUGGGCGUUAAGUUGCAGGGUAUAGACCCGAAACCCGGUGAUCUAGCCAUGGGCAGGUUGAAGGUUGGGUAACACUAACUGGAGGACCGAACCGACUAAUGUUGAAAAAUUAGCGGAUGACUUGUGGCUGGGGGUGAAAGGCCAAUCAAACCGGGAGAUAGCUGGUUCUCCCCGAAAGCUAUUUAGGUAGCGCCUCGUGAAUUCAUCUCCGGGGGUAGAGCACUGUUUCGGCAAGGGGGUCAUCCCGACUUACCAACCCGAUGCAAACUGCGAAUACCGGAGAAUGUUAUCACGGGAGACACACGGCGGGUGCUAACGUCCGUCGUGAAGAGGGAAACAACCCAGACCGCCAGCUAAGGUCCCAAAGUCAUGGUUAAGUGGGAAACGAUGUGGGAAGGCCCAGACAGCCAGGAUGUUGGCUUAGAAGCAGCCAUCAUUUAAAGAAAGCGUAAUAGCUCACUGGUCGAGUCGGCCUGCGCGGAAGAUGUAACGGGGCUAAACCAUGCACCGAAGCUGCGGCAGCGACGCUGAUGCGUUGUUGGGUAGGGGAGCGUUCUGUAAGCCUGUGAAGGUGUGCUGUGAGGCAUGCUGGAGGUAUCAGAAGUGCGAAUGCUGACAUAAGUAACGAUAAAGCGGGUGAAAAGCCCGCUCGCCGGAAGACCAAGGGUUCCUGUCCAACGUUAAUCGGGGCAGGGUGAGUCGACCCCUAAGGCGAGGCCGAAAGGCGUAGUCGAUGGGAAACAGGUUAAUAUUCCUGUACUUGGUGUUACUGCGAAGGGGGGACGGAGAAGGCUAUGUUGGCCGGGCGACGGUUGUCCCGGUUUAAGCGUGUAGGCUGGUUUUCCAGGCAAAUCCGGAAAAUCAAGGCUGAGGCGUGAUGACGAGGCACUACGGUGCUGAAGCAACAAAUGCCCUGCUUCCAGGAAAAGCCUCUAAGCAUCAGGUAACAUCAAAUCGUACCCCAAACCGACACAGGUGGUCAGGUAGAGAAUACCAAGGCGCUUGAGAGAACUCGGGUGAAGGAACUAGGCAAAAUGGUGCCGUAACUUCGGGAGAAGGCACGCUGAUAUGUAGGUGAAGCGACUUGCUCGUGGAGCUGAAAUCAGUCGAAGAUACCAGCUGGCUGCAACUGUUUAUUAAAAACACAGCACUGUGCAAACACGAAAGUGGACGUAUACGGUGUGACGCCUGCCCGGUGCCGGAAGGUUAAUUGAUGGGGUCAGCGCAAGCGAAGCUCUUGAUCGAAGCCCCGGUAAACGGCGGCCGUAACUAUAACGGUCCUAAGGUAGCGAAAUUCCUUGUCGGGUAAGUUCCGACCUGCACGAAUGGCGUAAUGAUGGCCAGGCUGUCUCCACCCGAGACUCAGUGAAAUUGAACUCGCUGUGAAGAUGCAGUGUACCCGCGGCAAGACGGAAAGACCCCGUGAACCUUUACUAUAGCUUGACACUGAACAUUGAGCCUUGAUGUGUAGGAUAGGUGGGAGGCUUUGAAGUGUGG